rnacentral:rRNA from 1 species
GAUGAACGCUAGCUACAGGCUUAACACAUGCAAGUCGAGGGGCAGCACAGUGUAGCAAUACAUGGGUGGCGACCGGCGCACGGGUGCGUAACGCGUAUCCAACCUUCCCGUUACUCUUGGAUAGCCUUCCGAAAGGGAGAUUAAUACAAGAUGGUAUUCAAAUUCCGCAUGUUAUUUGAACUAAAGAUUUAUCGGUAACGGAUGGGGAUGCGUGACAUUAGAUAGUAGGCGGGGUAACGGCCCACCUAGUCUACGAUGUCUAGGGGUUCUGAGAGGAAGGUCCCCCGCACUGGAACUGAGACACGGUCCAGACUCCUACGGGAGGCAGCAGUGGGGGAUAUUGCACAAUGGGGGAAACCCUGAUGCAGCAACGCCGCGUGAAGGAAGAAGGUCUUCGGAUUGUAAACUUCUGUUUUUAGUGAAGAAACAAAUGACGGUAGCUAAAAGAGGAAGCCACGGCUAACUACGUG